rnacentral:rRNA from 1 species
CCUACGGGUGGCAGCAGUCGAGAAUAAUUCACAAUGGGGGAAACCCUGAUGGUGCAACGCCGCGUGGAGGAUGAAGGUCUUCGGAUUGUAAACUCCUGCACGACAAUGCUUAGUACCAGAAGAGGAAGGGACGGCUAACUUCGUGCCAGCAGCCGCGGUAAUACGAAGGUCCCAAGCGUUGUUCGGAAUCACUGGGCGUAAAGGGAGCGUAGGCGGCGUGGUAAGUCAGAUGUGAAAUCCCGGGGCUCAACCCCGGAACUGCAUCCGAUACUGCCAUGCUUGAGGGUUGGAGAGGUAGCUGGAUUCCGGUGUAGCAGUGAAAUGCGUGGAUAUCAGAGGAACACUCGUGGCGAAGGGAGCUACUGGCAACAUCUGACGCUGAGGCUCGAAGGCCAGGGUAGCGAAAGGGAUUAGAUACCCUUGUAGUC